UGGGGAAUUUUGGACAAUGGGCGAAAGCCUGAUCCAGCAAUGCCGCGUGUGUGAAGAAGGCCUUCGGGUUGUAAAGCACUUUUGUCCGGAAAGAAAUCCUUGGCUCUAAUACAGUCGGGGGAUGACGGUACCGGAAGAAUAAGCACCGGCUAACUACGUGCCAGCAGCCGCGGUAAUACGUAGGGUGCAAGCGUUAAUCGGAAUUACUGGGCGUAAAGCGUGCGCAGGCGGUUUGCUAAGACCGAUGUGAAAUCCCCGGGCUCAACCUGGGAACUGCAUUGGUGACUGGCAGGCUGGAGUAUGGCAGAGGGGGGUAGAAUUCCACGUGUAGCAGUGAAAUGCGUAGAGAUGUGGAGGAAUACCGAUGGCGAAGGCAGCCCCCUGGGCCAAUACUGACGCUCAUGCACGAAAGCGUGGGGAGCAAACAGGAUUAGAUACCCUGGUAGUCCACGCCCUAAACGAUGUCAACUAGUUGUUGGGGAUUCAUUUCCUUAGUAACGUAGCUAACGCGUGAAGUUGACCGCCUGGGGGGUACGGUCGCAAGAUUAAAACUCAAAGGAAUUGACGGGGUCAUAGCUG
rnacentral:rRNA from 1 species